rnacentral:rRNA from 1 species
GGUCAAGCGACUAAGCGCACACGGUGGAUGCCUAGGCAGUUGGAGGCGAUGAAAGACGUAGGAGCCUGCGAUAAGCUCGGGGGAGCUGGCAAACAAGCUGUGAUCCCGAGAUCUCUGAAUGGGGGAACCCACCUACCUUUGGUAGGUAUCGUACAGUGAAUACAUAGCUGUACGAAGCGAACCCGGGGAACUGAAACAUCUAAGUACCCGGAGGAAAAGAAAUCAACCGAGAUUCCCUUAGUAGCGGCGAGCGAAAGGGGACCAGCCCUUAAGUGGCUUUGGUGUUAGUGGAAGGCUCUGGAAAGUGCCGCGAUACAGGGUGAUAGCCCCGUACACGAAAAUGCCUUAGUCAUGAAAACGAGUAGGACGGGACACGUGAUAUCCUGUUUGAAUAUGGGGGGACCAUCCUCCAAGGCUAAAUACUCCCAACUGACCGAUAGUGAACCAGUACCGUGAGGGAAAGGCGAAAAGAACCCCUGUGAGGGGAGUGAAAUAGAUCCUGAAACCGUGUGCGUACAAGCAGUAGGAGCAGACUUGUUCUGUGACUGCGUACCUUUUGUAUAAUGGGUCAGCGACUUAUUGUCAGUGGCAAGGUUAACCGUAUAGGGGAGCCGUAGCGAAAGCGAGUCUUAAUAGGGCGUCUAGUCGCUGGCAAUAGACCCGAAACCCGGCGAUCUAUCCAUGUGCAGGUUGAAGGUGAGGUAACACUUACUGGAGGACCGAACCCACAAAUGUUGAAAAAUUUGGGGAUGACGUGUGGAUAGGGGUGAAAGGCUAAUCAAGCCGGGAGAUAUCUGGUUCUCCCCGAAAGCUAUUUAGGUAGCGCGUCAUGUCUCACCCGCGGGGGUAGAGCACUGUUUGGGCUAGGGGGUCAUCCCGACUUACCAACCCCAUGCAAACUACGAAUACCGCGGAGUGCAAUCAUGGCAGACAGACAGCGGGUGCUAACGUCCGUUGUCAAGAGGGCAACAACCCAGACCGCCAGCUAAGGUCCCCAAUGUUAGUUAAGUGGGAAACGAUGUGGGAAGGCUUAGACAGCUAGGAGGUUGGCUUAGAAGCAGCCACCCUUUAAAGAAAGCGUAAUAGCUCACUAGUCGAGUCGGCCUGCGCGGAAGAUGUAACGGGGCUAAAACUAGCAACCGAAGCUGCGGCUGCAUACUUUGUAUGUGGGGUAGGGGAGCGUUCUGUAAGCCGUCGAAGGUGUGUUGAGAAGCAUGCUGGAGGUAUCAGAAGUGCGAAUGCUGACAUGAGUAACGAUAAGGGGAGUGAAAAACUCCCCCGCCGGAAGAUCAAGGGUUCCUGUCCAACGCUAAUCGGGACAGGGUUAGUCGGCCCCUAAGGCGAGGCGGAAACGCGUAGUCGAUGGGAAACAGGUUAAUAUUCCUGUACCUCUUUUUACUGCGAUGGGGGGACGGAGAAGGCUAGAGC